CCUACGGGAGGCUGCAGUGGGGAAUAUUGGACAAUGGGGGCAACCCUGAUCCAGCCAUGCCGCGUGUGUGAAGAAGGCCCUCGGGGUGUAAAGCACUUUCAGUGAGGAAGAACGCCUGGUGGUUAAUACCCAUCAGGAAAGACAUCACUCACAGAAGAAGCACCGGCUAACUCCGUGCCAGCAGCCGCGGUAAUACGGAGGGUGCGAGCGUUAAUCGGAAUUACUGGGCGUAAAGCGCGCGUAGGUGGCUUGAUAAGCCGGUUGUGAAAGCCCCGGGCUCAACCUGGGAACGGCAUCCGGAACUGUCAAGCUAGAGUGCAGGAGAGGAAGGUAGAAUUCCCAGUGUAGCGGUGAAAUGCGUAGAGAUCGGGAGGAAUACCAGUGGCGAAGGCGGCCUUCUGGACUGACACUGACACUGAGGUGCGAAAGCGUGGGUAGCAAACAGGAUUAGAUACCCGGGUAGUC
rnacentral:rRNA from 1 species